UGCUCCUUUGACGUUAGCGGCGGACGGGUGAGUAACACGUGGGUAACCUACCUAUAAGACUGGGAUAACUUCGGGAAACCGGAGCUAAUACCGGAUAACAUUUGGAACCGCAUGGUUCUAAAGUGAAAGAUGGUUUUGCUAUCACUUAUAGAUGGACCCGCGCCGUAUUAGCUAGUUGGUAAGGUAACGGCUUACCAAGGCGACGAUACGUAGCCGACCUGAGAGGGUGAUCGGCCACACUGGAACUGAGACACGGUCCAGACUCCUACGGGAGGCAGCAGUAGGGAAUCUUCCGCAAUGGGCGAAAGCCUGACGGAGCAACGCCGCGUGAGUGAUGAAGGGUUUCGGCUCGUAGAACUCUGUUAUUAGGGAAGAACAAGGUGUGUAAGUAACUGUGCACGUCUUGACGGUACCUCUCAG
rnacentral:rRNA from 1 species